AAAAAAAAACAAACAACAAAACAGCAACAUAAAGCACUUAACAUUGACCUAAAAAGAAACCUAACCUCUAUCCAUCAGUUCUUGCAAUAUCCUUACCCUAUUUUGCACUGUCAACUGAUUUUUUGGACUUCCCACUAAGUUUACUUCACCAGCAAAACAACUUGACUGCUGCUCAAGAAACUUUGUACCACCAGGAAUUUGACCAAGAAAGAGAAGCAGGAGGUUGAGGCACUUCAGCUACUGAGGCAAGAGGGAUCCAUUGUCAGACUCACCCCAAAAAGGCUGGACUUCGAGUCGGAAAAUAAACCAGUGGCUGUGCUUGGAAGAGUCUUUGUGAAAAUGCAAACCCCAUUUCUGUGAAGGGUGACAAAAAGGACUGUUGAGAGACCAAGCAACACCAACACCGCCUCUUUGCCGGGCCCAUGACCAGAGGGGACGGUCACCACCCAUGGACGCACUCUGGCCGCUGCCACUACACCCACAGCAACACCUAGAUUAUUCUGCACAGCAUUCGGUGAGGACCUCCACAAAGCGUAUUAUUUAAAAAUAAAUAAUAUCCUCUAUUGCA